rnacentral:lncRNA from 10 species
CCUGAGUCUGCAAACCUCUGGGAAGCUCUCAGGCCUCACCGAGAAGACUAGAGGGCUGGAUCUGGUUCACUCUUUCCCUGGGGUCUGAAGGAUCUGCGCCCUGUGUUCAAGGACGACGCUGAAACAUUCUUUUCUGCGUGCCUGAUCUGAGGCCUCACAACUCAGAUGAACAAGACUGUGUCCCUUUCACAUGGAGAAGCCGAGUUCCACAGAGGUUGCGGGAGGAGCCGGCAUCACACAAGGACUCGGAGGGGCGCCUCGAGACUCCCAGGACAGAGACGGCAGCCCCAGGCUGAGUAGUGGUCCCAGGUGCAUUAAUUUGCAGUUCAUCUGCCCAAGCACAGGCCAAAAGAAAGCCUUCCCACAGAGAGUCCCAAGUUCAUGUGGCAGGACACCAGAGGUAUGUAGUGGAACAGUAGGUGCUGAAGCAACAAUUACCUCAUGAAAACUACAGAUCUCACUCA